rnacentral:rRNA from 1 species
GAUGAACGCUAGCUACAGGCUUAACACAUGCAAGUCGAGGGGAAACGGCAUCGAAAGCUUGCUUUUGAUGGGCGUCGACCGGCGCACGGGUGAGUAACGCGUAUCCAACCUGCCCAUCACUUGGGAAUAACCUUGCGAAAGUAAGACUAAUGCCCAAUGACAUCCCACGAAGGCAUCCGAAUGGGAUUAAAGAUUUAUCGGUGAUGGAUGGGGAUGCGUCUGAUUAGCUUGUUGGCGGGGUGACGGCCCACCAAGGCAACGAUCAGUAGGGGUUCUGAGAGGAAGGUCCCCCACAUUGGAACUGAGACACGGUCCAAACUCCUACGGGAGGCAGCAGUGAGGAAUAUUAGUCAAUGGGCGAGAGCCUGAACCAGCCAAGUAGCGUGCAGGAUGACGGCCCUAUGGGGUGUAAACUGCUUUUAUAAGGGAAUAAAGUGGGUCACGUGUGACUUUUUGCAUGUACCUUAUGAAUAAGGACCGGCUAAUUCCGU